AUCCCUUUCCCUUUCGACUAGUGAUGUGACGAUGAUGGUUUCGUCAGUUGCGGAAACUUCGUGCUUCGCCAUACCGUAUUGUACCAUUUUAGACAUAAUAUGUAUGUAUGUAAUAUGUUGUGUAAGUUUUUUUAGAAUCCUCUAGGCCAGCGGAGCAGUUAGGCCGCGUGUCACGAGAUGGACCUGAUGAUGAACUUCAAAGAAGUGCGAGGGAACGCGGUGUUGGUUUGUGAUAGACAUAUGUUGUAUGGGUUUUUUAGAAUCCUCUAGGUGAGCAGUUAGGUCUCAUGUCACGAGAUGGACCUGAUGAUGAACUUCAAAGAAGCGCGAGGGAACUCGGUGUUGGUUUGUGAUAGACAUAUGUUGUAUGAGUUUUUUAGAAUCCUCUA